CCUACGGGUGGCAGCAGUGAGGAAUUUUGGGCAAUGGCCGGAAGGCUGAACCAGCCAAGCCGCGUGAACGACGAAGGUUUCAAGCAGUGUAAACUUCUUUUGUCAAGGGACAAAAUCAGGCUCGAGAGCCUGACAGAGGGUACUUGUAGAUAAACCAACGGCUAACUCUGCGCCAGAUGCCGCGGUAAUACGGAGGGUUCAAGCGUUGUCCGGUAUCAUGGGGCGUAAAGAGUUCGUAGGCGGCAUGGAAAGUCAGGUGUUAAAGGCGCAGGCUCAACCUGUGUAUGGCACUUGAUACUGGCAAGCUGGAAUGCGGUAGAGGGAAAGGGAAUUCCUGGUGUAGCGGUGAAAUGCUUAGAUAUCAGGAGGAACAUCGGUGGCGUAAGCGCUUUACUGGGCCGUAAUUGACGCUGAGGAACGAAAGCCAGGGUAGCAAAUGGGAUUAGAUACCCGGGUAGUC
rnacentral:rRNA from 1 species